UACAGAGGGUGCGAGCGUUUGUCCGGGAAUCACUGGGCGUAAAGGGCGCGUAGGUGGUGGCUUAAGCGUGCGGUGAAAGCUCGGGGCUCAACUCCGAGUCGGCCGUGCGAACUGGGCUCACUGGAGCAUAGUAGAGGCAGGUGGAAUUCCGGGGUGUAGCGGUGGAAUGCGUAGAGAUCCGGAAGAACACCGGUGGCGAAGGCGGCCUGCUGGGCUAUGGCUGACACUGAGGCGCGACAGCGUGGGGAGCAAACAGG
rnacentral:rRNA from 1 species